UACGUAGGGGGCGAGCGUUGUCCGGAAUCAUUGGGCGUAAAGCGCGUGUAGGCGGUUCGGUAAGUCUGCUGUGAAAGUCCAGGGCUCAACCCUGGGAUGCCGGUGGAUACUGCUGAACUAGAGUGCGGAAGAGGCGAGUGGAAUUCCCGGUGUAGCGGUGAAAUGCGCAGAUAUCGGGAGGAACACCAAUUGCGAAGGCAGCUCGCUGGGACGUUACUGACGCUGAGGCGCGAAAGCGUGGGGAGCAAACAGG
rnacentral:rRNA from 1 species